rnacentral:rRNA from 1 species
GACGAACGCUGGCGGCGUGCCUAACACAUGCAAGUCGAGCGGAGGUAAGUGGAUGGUAACUGAAGCUUACUUUAGCGGCGGACGGGUGAGUAACACGUGGGCAACCUGCCUCGAAGUGGGGGAUAACACCGAGAAAUCGGUGCUAAUACCGCAUAACAUACAGACACCACCUGGUGACUGUAUCAAAGGAGAAAUCCGCUUUGAGAUGGGCCCGCGGCUGAUUAGCUAGUUGGUGAGGUAAUGGCUCACCAAGGCGACGAUCAGUAGCCGACCUGAGAGGGUGACCGGCCACACUGGAACUGAGACACGGUCCAGACUCCUACGGGAGGCAGCAGUGGGGAAUAUUGCGCAAUGGGGGAAACCCUGACGCAGCAACGCCGCGUGGAGGAAGAAGGUCUUCGGAUUGUAAACUCCUGUCUUCUGGGACGAUAAUGACGGUACCAGAGGAGGAAGCCACGGCUAACUACGUGCCAGCAGCCGCGGUAAUACGUAGGUGGCGAGCGUUGUCCGGAAUUACUGGGCGUAAAGGGCGCGUAGGCGGUUCUUUAAGUUAGAUGUGAAAACCCAGGGCUUAACUUUGGGAGUGCAUUUAAAACUGAAGGACUCGAGUGCAGGAGAGGUAAGUGGAAUUCCUAGUGUAGCGGUGAAAUGCGUAGAUAUUAGGAGGAACACCAGUGGCGAAGGCGACUUACUGGACUGUAACUGACGCUGAGGCGCGAAAGCGUGGGGAGCAAACAGGAUUAGAUACCCGGGUAGUCCACGCUGUAAACGAUGGAUACUAGGUGUGGGAGGUAUCGACCCCUUCCGUGCCGCAGUAAACGCAAUAAGUAUCCCGCCUGGGGAGUACGGCCGCAAGGUUGAAACUCAAAGGAAUUGACGGGGGCCCGCACAAGCAGCGGAGCAUGUGGUUUAAUUCGAAGCAACGCGAAGAACCUUACCAGAACUUGACAUCGUCUGAAUUACUCUUAAUCGAG